CGGUGGUCUUGGACGGUGCUCUCUGCUCCAACAAUCAAAUAGACAUCAAACCUGCAGUUUCAGGAUUGACGGGGGGAAAUUGUAAGCUACAAUUCAAUGGCAUUAUGACUCCUAUCAAAAAAAUUGGAUGUAUAAUUCUACCACUACCGCUUCCGGCGGCCGCCUCUUACACUUAUCACUAUUACCACAAAUACCACCAGCAUCACAACUCCCAUCAGCAACAUCUAUAGAUGCUCAAAGAAGAUUAGGUUGA